GAGCAUACGUGAAGUUUGGAGGCCCAUGUUCCUAUCCCGUCAACUAUGAAACAAUAUUCAUUGCAACGGUGAAACAUGUCAAAUUUAUAAUAAAUCAAUAGAAUCUUUUAUAUUUCAUUAUUUAUCAUAUAUUAUAUUAAUUUUUAUAGAUAAUUUUUUAUUUUAUUUUUAUAUUUUAUCUAUUUUCAAUUUUUAUUGAUUUGUUACGACGGUGACGUGGUAUCACUAUUGCAAUGAAUAUUUUUUCAUCAACUAUAGUAAAAUGGAUCAUGUGUCAUAGAGUUGGGUGG
rnacentral:lncRNA from 1 species